CAGUGUUAAAGCUCUUUUAGAAUUUGUCUAGCAGGCAAAUAAAUAAAUAAAAUAAAAUAAAAUAAAUAACCGGCCUUU
ensembl:snRNA U7 U7 small nuclear RNA